AAAGGACAGCAUGCAGCACAUAAAGCAGAGAUUUUCUUUUAUCCACUCUUCACAUCAGAGUCUGCUAGUACAGAAAUUUUCCACAUGGAAUCAAAGCUGUCACUAUAAGGCCAAUAGGACUACAUGAUUCUUCUCUGAAUGGUCCUGUAAUCCACUCCUCCUUACAACCCUACAGAGAGCACUUCAGAAGAAGCCUAGAUUGGGCGCAGGGUGGGGCCAGGCCGGGGCACCCGGAGCCCAACCGGAUCCCGCGGCCGCCCGCGCCCCUUCGCGCCCUCCCCCCACCCAAAAAGAAGAAGCCUAAAGUCUGAAAGAGAAGGAGCUAAUCAAAAUAAAAGGCAGUCUGAUGGAGCCAAGAGUAAAAAAUUCACUGUUUGAACUAACCUUCAGUAGCGCAAAAAGUCAAGAGACCACCUGUCCUGGAAUUUAUGCUUUGGAAAACAUUUAAAAUAACACAUUAGUAAUAUGGUUUACCUGAUUUGAAAUAAUAGGUGAAGCCAGACUAAGCUUUGAACAAAGAAAAUUUAUCCUAAAGUACUACUAGACUGUUUUUAUGGGAAUACAGACAGGAUAAAGUUUAUGUUACAAAAUCGGCAAUAGCUGACAAAUUGAAGGCACACAAAUUCCGAAUGAAAUUCCAAUUCUUUGAUGUUUGUGAUUCCACUGGUUCGUGUUAUCAGCAGUGCCUGGACCAGAACAGUCCAGUUUGAAAACAGGCAUUGACAAAAAAUUAUUCAUUUCUGU